rnacentral:tRNA from 1 species
ACGAACGUGGCGGAAUUGGUAGACGCGGUGGCUUCAGGUGCUAUUUGGGUUCUCUCGGUGCAAGUUCGAAUCUUGUUGUUCGUA